rnacentral:rRNA from 14 species
ACCCAGAGAAUGCUCAAUCUCAUCUGAUCUUGGAAGCUAAGCAGGGUU